GUGUGUAGCCCAGUGGUAGAGUGCAUGCUGUGUGUGAAUGAUAUUCUGGGUUCAAUCCCCAGCUUCU
rnacentral:tRNA from 1 species